rnacentral:lncRNA from 1 species
GGGGGGGCGGUGCGGAGUGGAACAAAAUCGCCAAAAGAAGACCAUGUAUAAAAGAUUUAAAAAAAAAAAGGCUUUGCAGACUCAACUGAGUUUUUAAAAGAAAAAACAGGUAGUCUUAUAUUUUUUUUUCUUCUUAAGUAUGGGAACUUCCAAUGACUUCUUAAUUUGCAAAGAGAACAAAAGCUACAGCAUUUAUUCCUCUAAUUCCAGUAACAUUUUUUUAUCAAGACAGGUUGAUGGGACGUUUACACCCAGCACCAAUCCAUGAGAUCUUAGGGCCUGAGAAUCAUGGUUACAAUGAACAUAUGUGAAUACAUAGUACUUAUUUUGAGUUAAACCAAGAUUUUGAAACUUAACAAUGACAAAGGAAAAGGUUUUUGUGCAUGUUUGUUUCCAUAAACUGAGAAAUCCCUUUACACUCAUAUUGUCUACUCAUCCAAUAGAUACAACAGUUUGUUUUUUUUUCUUUUUAAGGGUCCGUUGCAAGCCUCCAGUAUCAUUCAUAAAAUAAAACCCAUUCGUGAAUAACUUCUAGAACACCUGAGCAGAAGCAAAACUCAAUUCUUUACGAGACUAGGGAAUAUAAGCGUCCACUCUAAGAUCUGGCGGGUUAGGAGCAGUGCCUGCGCUGGCGUCCAGAGAACGAGGAUACCAGGCGGUGAAACCUGCAGAAAGAUUGGUUUAAGGGCUGACAGGAAUCGAGCCCUGAAUAAAAACAAACAGACCAGAUGUGGAGAUGCGCAAGGAUGGCACCAGCCGGUCCUCGAACUGAGUAAAGUCUAGUCAAGUAUUUGCUCGGGAGGCCGCGGUCCUGGGCUGGGAGGACAGAGACGGGCGUGAAGAAGCGGCAGCGAAGGCGCACGGAGAUGGAGGCAAAGCUGCGGAGACGGAGGAGGGAGAAGGGAAGGCAGGCCAGGAGCGGCGGGAGCGGCAGCCGGGUAAGGGGACGUGGAUGCGGUCCAGGCUGGAGACUGCAGAGCCGAGGUCCCAGGCCCGGCAGGAGCGGGGUGUCCGCGGGGAAGCAGGGGCUGGGCGGGAUGGGAGAGACGCAGAGGGGGCGGAUACCGGGUCCGAGGGGAGAAAGGGAAGGCGGGAGGGGACAGAAGCGAGGGCUGAGCGCGGCUCCUCAACUUCAUCCCCGCGGCCUGCUGCAAAGACGCCAGCGCCCGCCGGUCGCACUCACCGCAGCACCCGGCUCCGCGCCCCGCGCUCCGCACUCCGCCCGCGCGCCCGCCGGUUGCUAGGACGCCGGCUCCCCGAAGUCGCGUCCUCCUGGCUCCACCAGGUGGGAAACCUGUCACCUUCCCUAACGCGCGGUGAGAGGUUUUAGCAGCAAUUUCACGGUAGAACCGAAAGCAGAUGGAAAAUAGUCACUGGAAACGCCGUUUUGUUUCCCGCUAGGCUUCUAGACAGAAGUCCCAUCGCGUUCCUUGAGGAGUUCUGUGUACCCGAAAUAUUUCCUGGGUUCUGAAAAAUAGCACAGGGCCUCUUAGAGGAUGUUUGAGGUGCACAUAUUUCUCUCCAGAAAGCAAAUAAACUAGAAUUCUGGGAUAUUCACUGGAAAAGCAAAAACUGCUCUUGGAUACUCUAGUUCGUAGAACUAGAAUGAAAUAAGGACAUUUCCCCGUGUUUCUAAAUGCCUUUCACCUCUGCGUGCCAGGAUGAGUUUGACUCCACCAACAGACACUACCAUCAGGAGAUGUUAAGUCUUGGUCUGUUAAGUCUUAGUUGGGUAAGUCGUGUCUGACUCUGCGACCCCAUGGGCUUUAACCCUGCAGGCUCCUCUGUCCAUGGGAUUUCCCAGGUAAGAAUACUGGAGUGGGUCGCCAUUUCCUUCUCCAGGGGAUCAUCCUGACCCAGGGAUUGAACCACGUCUCCUACAUUGGGAGAUGUCUUCUUUACCACUGAGCCGCCUAGGAAGCCCACUAACAGGAGACCAACCUUGAAAAACCAGAGGGAGGGAGUGGAAAAAAGGAAAAUAUUUUUGGGGUGAAAAAAAAGGGGGAGGAAUGAACAGUGUACUGUCUUGGCUGAUGGAGUGUUUGGAGACAGCCGGGAUGGUUGGGGGGUGGGGGGCAGCAGGGAAGGAGGGAGGGAGACAGUGUUCAGGAACUAGAACUGGAUUGUUUUUCGUUAAAGCCAGCAGGUCUGAGGAUGUCAAGUGUCACGUGUGAGGGUAGUAUGUUUUUGCCACUCAAAAACAGCUUUCUGCAGACACACAGAGAAAUAAGGUUGAUGUGGCCUUUGCUUUGGGUUCUUUUCUUCUCUUUUUGAGAUUGUGAGACUUCUCAGCAGUGGAAUCUUUUUGCCUGAAGGGGCCUGCCUUCCAGGGAAGCCUAGAGUUGCAAGCACCAGAAAGGAAGAUUAUGUGCCAGUAAGUGUAAGGGGCCCAAUGAAAAAUUUUUUUAAAGGUGGUAAGAUUACAUUCAGGUACACAUUCUACACCUGUAGGG